AUUGAACGCUGGCGGCAUGCCUUACACAUGCAAGUCGAACGGCAGCACGGGAGCAAUCCUGGUGGCGAGUGGCGAACGGGUGAGUAAUAUAUCGGAACGUGCCCAGUAAUGGGGGAUAGCCCGGCGAAAGCCGGAUUAAUACCGCAUACGACCUACGGGUGAAAGCAGGGGAUCGCAGGACCUUGCGUUAUUGGAGCGGCCGAUAUCAGAUUAGCUUGUUGGUGGGGUAAAAGCCUACCAAGGCAACGAUCUGUAGCUGGUCUGAGAGGACGACCAGCCACACUGGGACUGAGACACGGCCCAGACUCCUACGGGAGGCAGCAGUGGGGAAUUUUGGACAAUGGGCGCAAGCCUGAUCCAGCCAUGCCGCGUGCGGGAAGAAGGCCUUCGGGUUGUAAACCGCUUUUGUCAGGGAAGAAACGGUUGUGGCUAAUAUCCAUGGCUAAUGACGGUACCUGAAGAAUAAGCACCGGCUAACUACGUGCCAGCCGCCGCCUAAAAC
rnacentral:rRNA from 1 species